AACGAACGCUGGCGGCAUGCCUAACACAUGCAAGUCGAACGAGACCUUCGGGUCUAGUGGCGCACGGGUGCGUAACGCGUGGGAACCUGCCUUUAGGUUCGGAAUAACUCAGAGAAAUUUGAGCUAAUACCGGAUGAUGUCUUCGGACCAAAGAUUUAUCGCCUUUAGAUGGGCCCGCGUUGGAUUAGCUAGUUGGUGGGGUAAAGGCCUACCAAGGCGACGAUCCAUAGCUGGUCUGAGAGGAUGAUCAGCCACACUGGGACUGAGACACGGCCCAGACUCCUACGGGAGGCAGCAGUGGGGAAUAUUGGACAAUGGGCGAAAGCCUGAUCCAGCAAUGCCGCGUGAGUGAUGAAGGCCUUAGGGUUGUAAAGCUCUUUUACCCGAGAUGAUAAUGACAGUAUCGGGAGAACAAGCUCCGGCUAACUCCGUG
rnacentral:rRNA from 1 species